UAGGAAUAUGUCCCGUGAUCGACAUACAAUAACAGUUUUAAAUCAAUGACUACAUCACAUGAUCAUGAUUCAUGAGGAUAUGUCGAUAUAUAUUGGCCUGUAUCUUCUUUCGGACAGUUUGCAUAUGCAUGUUUUUAAAUUUUAACACUAGCACGUAACUACAAAACAUAUUAUAGUUGGUGCCAACUUAUUAAAAUGGUACCAACUUACUAAACAGAAUCUUGGAUUUCUGAUAGUAUUUUCAUACAAAUUGAUGUAUUUUAGUCUUUCCUCUAUGGAUACAAGUGCAAGUUUUAGAUGCUUGAUCUUUAGAAUGCUUUUAUUUUUGAAUCUUUGACAUAACUACUCAUUUUUUAGAAAUUUUUAUUUUGAUUUUUGGGAUGUCAAUAGCUAUAGCUACUCACUAUGAAUAUAAUUGCUACUGUAAGCAUCCACGUUAAUGUUAGCGGCAAAAACUUUCUGUUCUAUGUUGCAUCAGCAUCUCACAGAAGCAUUCAGAAUUUUGUACCACUUAUAUUAGAUUAAAAGCGUAGCUCAGUACCUUUAUUUGAGAAGCAACCCAUCCAUGUUCAGAGAUGACAGUUCUCCGCCAGUCUACUGGUGAUAACCAUUUGAUUCU
rnacentral:lncRNA from 1 species